rnacentral:rRNA from 1 species
UACAGAGGUGGCAAGCGUUAUUCGGAAUUAUUGGGCGUAAAGGGCGCGUAGGCGGUUUUUUAAGUGAGAUGUGCAAUCCCCGAGCUUAACUUGGGAACUGCAUCUCAGACUGGAAGGCUAGAGUGCUGGAGAGGGAGGUAGAAUUCCACGUGUAGCGGUGAAAUGCGUAGAGAUGUGGAGGAAUACCAGUGGCGAAGGCGGCCACCUGGACAGUAACUGACGCUGAGGCGCGAAAGUGUGGGUAGCAAACAGG